GACGAACCGUGCGAACGUUGUUCGGAUUCACUGGGCUUAAAGGGCGCGUAGGCGGCUUGCCAAGUCAGGGGUGAAAUCUUUCGGCUCAACCGGAAAAGUGCUUCUGAUACUGGCGGGCUGGAGGGGGGUAGGGGCAGAUGGAACUUCCGGUGGAGCGGUGAAAUGCGUAGAUAUCGGAAGGAACGCCGGCGGCGAAAGCGAUCUGCUGGACCCCUUCUGACGCUGAGGCGCGAAAGCCAGGGGAGCGAAUGGG
rnacentral:rRNA from 1 species